AGACUCGCUGUUGAAGACGGUGUUGCAAGGGCAACAAGGCGCUUUAUGUCCAAUUCUGGUAUAAAAGUGUCUGAAUCAACAGUAAGAAGCAUCCGAGACCGGAAUCUAAGAGAGCAAGAAAAGCAUCUGGGACUCACAUCUCGCUGCUCUUCCCAAAUACCCUUGAGGAAACACUCUGAUUCUUGGUUCCUUGGAUAGUGAGGUACAAAACUGGAUCUGCCAAGUACGGCUCAACGGGAGUGUUAUCAAUUUGAGAAUCGUUAUGUUGGGGGCGGAGGCCAUUGUGACCAAGUUCGACAGAAAAAAAUUAGGAAACGGACAAAGGCUGCUAAAACUUUACCAAGUGAUUUUGACGACCUCAAAUGUGAAUUUAAGAAAAAGAAAAAAAAAGAAAAAGUGAGUGAGUAUUUUGUCCCUGAUUCUCUUAUUAUCAUCAAAGAUCAAACUAGUUGUCAGCUCGUUCCCGGGGGUGAGUGGACAAUGGAGGAAAAAGGCUCAAAGCAGGUUACAGACGCCGGAAUUUAUGAUAAACGACAAAUAAAACUUCUUUUAGGAAUAACGAAAUCGGGAACUUUGCUUCCCCCGCAACUCAUAUAUGCAUGAAAAACAUAGCGCUGCCUACCUCAAAAUAUAGAGCUUCCUUCUGAUUGGGAUAAUACGUUCACAGAAACUCACUGGAGCAACGAAAGUUCGAUGCUGCGAUAUUUUUAGAAUCGCUUGACCAUGACGGUCCAAGGAAUGCCAAUAUUGAUCUAAGAACAUUGACACCGAAGCCUCUACACGCUAACUGGAUAAAUAACACUCAUUAUAACUUGUCAAAACACCCCGAGCUUAUAAAGGGCAGCUUCCAAAAAGUGGGAUUGCAAUGAGUCGAUCUAUUAUACUCCUGAGCAGUAAAUAAGAUUAAACUGAAAUAUGAAAUGUUAUAAAUAAAACUUCUCUUCUUC
rnacentral:sRNA from 1 species